rnacentral:rRNA from 1 species
GACGAACGCUGGCGGCGUGCCUAAUACAUGCAAGUAGAACGCUGAAGGAGGAGCUUGCUUCUCUGGAUGAGUUGCGAACGGGUGAGUAACGCGUAGGUAACCUGCCUGGUAGCGGGGGAUAACUCUUGGAAACGAUAGCUAAUACCGCAUAAGAGUAGAUGUUGCAUGACAUUUGCUUAAAAGGUGCAAUUGCAUCACUACCAGAUGGACCUGCGUUGUAUUAGCUAGUUGGUGGGGUAACGGCUCACCAAGGCGACAAUACAUAGCCGACCUGAGAGGGUGAUCGGCCAAAAUGGGACUGAGACACGGCCCAGAAUCCUACGGGAGGCAGCAGUAGGGAAUCUUCGGCAAUGGACGGAAGUCUGACCGAGCAACGCCGCGUGAGUGAAGAAGGUUUUCGGAUCGUAAAGCUCUGUUGUAAGAGAAGAACGAGUGUGAGAGUGGAAAGUUCACACUGUGACGGUAUCUUACCAGAAAGGGACGGCUAACUACGUG